AUGAUUGGGCGUAAGCGUCCGCAGGUGGCUAUGUAAGUCUGCUGUUAAAGAGUGAGCGCUCAACCUCAUAAGAGCAGUGGAAACUACAUGGCUAGAGUACGUUCGGGGCAGAGGGAAUUCCUGGUGUAGCGGUGAAAUGCGUAGAUAUCAGGAAGAACACCGGUGGCGAAAGCGCUCUGCUAGGCCGUAACUGACACUGAGGGACGAAAGCUAGGGGAGCGAAUGGGAUUAGAUACCCCAGUAGUCCUAGCCGUAAACGAUGGAUACUAGGCGUGGCUUGUAUCGACCCGAGCCGUGCCGUAGCUAACGCGUUAAGUAUCCCGCCUGGGGAGUACGCACGCAAGUGUGAAACUCAAAGGAAUUGACGGGGGCCCGCACAAGCGGUGGAGUAUGUGGUUUAAUUCGAUGCAACGCGAAGAACCUUACCAAGACUUGACAUGUCGCGAACCUUUGUGAAAGCAGAGGGUGCCUUCGGGAGCGCGAACACAGGUGGUGCAUGGCUGUCGUCAGCUCGUGUCGUGAGAUGUUGGGUUAAGUCCCGCAACGAGCGCAACCCUCGUUUUUAGUUGCCAGCAUUAAGUUGGGCACUCUAGAGAGACUGCCGGUGACAAACCGGAGGAAGGUGGGGAUGACGUCAAGUCAGCAUGCCCCUUACGUCUUGGGCUACACACGUACUACAAUGCUACGGACAAAGGGCAGCAAGCGUGCGAACGCAAGCAAAUCUCAUAAACCGUAGCUCAGUUCAGAUCGAAGGCUGCAACUCGCCUUCGUGAAGGAGGAAUCGCUAGUAAUUGCAGGUCAGCAUACUGCAGUGAAUUCGUUCCCGGGCCUUGUACACACCGCCCGUCACACCAUGGAAGCUGGUAGUGCCCGAAGUCAUUACUCCAACCUUUCGGGGGGGAGGAUGCCUAAGGCAGGACUGGUGACUGGGGUGAAGUCGUAACAAGGUAGCCGUACCGGAAGGUGUGGCUGGAUCACCUCCUUUUAGGGAGACCGAAUCCACUCAAAAAUCGAAAGCACACAGCAAAUAGAUGAUGAGUUGGUCAUUCCUAGGUCGGUCGAGAUUGGUAAAAGCUUUCAAAGUAUUUAAGUUCGGUUUAAAUUUGAGUUGAAAAACAAUCGGAAAUACUGGGAAUAGUGAUUCAGCAACAUGGCAAUAGCCAGACUGCUGGGUUAUUCCAGCCAGAACCUUGAAAACUGCAUAGUAACGCG
rnacentral:rRNA from 1 species